CCUACGGGAGGCAGCAGUGGGGAAUAUUGGACAAUGGGGGGAACCCUGAUCCAGCGACGCCGCGUGAGUGAAGAAGUAUUUCGGUAUGUAAAGCUCUAUCAGCAGGGAAGAAAGAAAUGACGGUACCUGACUAAGAAGCCCCGGCUAACUACGUGCCAGCAGCCGCGGUAAUACGGAGGGGGCAAGCGUUAUCCGGAUUUACUGGGUGUAAAGGGAGCGUAGACGGCGAUGCAAGUCUGAAGUGAAAGGCGGGGGCCCAACCCCUGGACUGCUUUGGAAACUGGAUGGCUGGAGUGCAGGAGAGGUAAGUGGAAUUCCGGGUGUAGCGGUGAAAUGCGUAGAUAUUAGGAGGAACACCAGUGGCGAAGGCGGCUUACUGGACUGUAACUGACGUUGAGGCUCGAAAGCGUGGGGAGCAAACAGGAUUAGAUACCCGUGUAGUC
rnacentral:rRNA from 1 species